GGCGACGUCGCCAAGUGGUAAGGCACGGCUCUGCAAAAGCUGCAUCAGCGGUUCGAUUCCGCUCGUCGCCUCCA
rnacentral:tRNA from 1 species